UACUCAUGUCAUGUCUGAAAAAGCGAACUUGGUGGUGUAGUAAAAUAUACUAAUUAAACUGUCCUAAUGUCUACAAUUACAUUUUUCGUUUCUGCGGGAACUAGAUUUUGUUACGAUUCCUUUUUUCAUCCACGAUAUUGGCUGCCGUGCUAAACAGUCUAGCCUCAGUGCUAUCCUGCUAUCCUGCUAGUCUGCUAGCUGGCUGCAAACUGUGGAGUGGAUUUCCUGAGCGUGUCUCAUAACUGUCUCAUUGAGCCGCGCCCCCGUUCAGGAAUCCAUUCCACAGUUUGCAGCCAGCUAGCAGGAUAGCAGGAUAGCAGGAUAGCACUGAGGCUAGACUGUUUAGCACGGCAGCCAAUAUCGAAAAAAGGAAGCGCACUGCAGAGAGAGCAGAAAUGCUCAUAUUCCUCAAGAAGAACCUGCCGAUAUCAAGGAGGAGUUUUGGAGAAUAACUACAAUUUCUCUAGAGCAAAGCUUCAUGUACAAACUAGACCACUAUACACCAAAGCUUACUGCCCUGAUGAAAGCCAAGGGAGGUGUUGUGGGGACCAGACUGAGGCCCCAUCUGGAUAAACUGAGUCAGAACCCAAUCACUGACAUGAGACGUGACGCAGUUAUCCGUGGCCUCAUACUAUUCCUUGGUGAAAAAGAAGAGGAACUUUUCGAAGAUUGCCUGGAGGACAAUCGCAGUGAUCACUCAACACAUAGUCAAGAUCCUGGUUGUCCAUGGUACUGAUGGAGAAAAACCAGUAGAUGUUUCCAUCAUUCUUGAAGGGAAGGAGGUAUUGACAGGAUGCAACAGCACAGCCAAAGCUUGCACGUUGCUAAUGGGACUGAUUUAUUCCCUGAACCUUGCCUACCCCUCGGCUCUGCGCUACACCUUUGAGGUGUUUCAAAAACUUUUCCUGGAACUGAAUGGGAUAAAGCUGUCACCAAAAGUACAUUCUUUAAAGUUGAAGUUGCUGUCUUAAAAGCUAUUUCCAGAAGGUACACUGUGCAGUCUUAGCUGGCCAACCCUAACUCAAUGUUGCAAAUGGCUGGAGUAACAUCAAUAACUUGCACAGUUACAGAGACUGACUCCAUGGACCCUCCACUCACACACCACAUAUUGCUUUUAAAUGAAUCCUUCACUGUCAAUUGUGGUGGCAGAGACCUUCUUCAACUUUCCAAAAGUCUGUGAUGACUGAUCCCAUGUGGCCGGGACUAGACUUAAAAAAUUGAAAUUGCUGCCUUAAAUAGUUUAAUGUAAACACAUAUAGAGAUAAAUGUGAAUUGUGUGUGUAAACAUGGUUUGUAAGGUAAGUGGUAAUAUGGGUCUCAGUAAUGCUGUUCUGCUUGCACUUUUGUAGCCAAUUAGCAGGUUGCCUUCAAGUUUAUUUUUCACCCUCCAAGAUGUUAGGAGUUUUCUUUCUUAAAUGUUCCUUAUGUUGUCAACAAAGGCAACUGCUGUCAUUCAUGCUCACAAGGUAAAGACGAAGUUAAAAAUAACCUUUGUUUUAAAGGUUUUAACAGAGGAUUUGAUGUUGUACUCAAACUUUAAUGUUUUAACCGAAUGCUAAUAUAAAUAUGUUAAUGGAUGUUGCGGUUUAGAAUCUUUUUCAUGUCAGUACAGCAUAUUUUGUCAGGUCAAACCCUCAUAAUCUGUUUUGUCACCUGAUGUGCCCUGUUUAGUUUAAUGCUUCCAGGGGUCAAAAACAUUUUGAUUUUCCAGUGAUAAGCUUUUUUUCUGUAUAGCGUAAUGAUCACUCAGUAAAGGUAAACAUUUUUUCUUUAUUGAUGCUUUAUUGAUUUACUGCUGCUGAGAUUUCAUUUCAUUUUUUGUCAUGUGAAAUGUGACUGCUGUUUCAUGUACAGUUCUACAUGGCUGUAUAAAAUGAGGUGUUAUGUAAGGUACCUGACAAAUGUUUAUGAAUAAAUAAUGGAAUUGUA